AUCCUUUCUCUCCCUCUUCUGCAGGAUUCCCCAAGUUCUGCCUAAUGUUUGGCUGUGGGUCUACAUCGGUUUCCAUCACUUUCUGGAUAAUGCUUCGAGGAUGGCAAUUUGGAUAAGCACCAAGCUGGUCACAGGAGAUGGCCAGUUCUGCUACUUAUCUGCUUUCGUACACGCCCCUCGGUCCAUACCCGAGGGAGCAAAGGCAGAACUGCAUUUUCAGAUGAGUUAGAAAACUGUGGCUAUUGUACUUUGCAUCCACACUGGUCUCCUAGCAACAAGUCAGUCGGUGACUUCCACCAGGAAAAGGAAACCUGGAACUGGGGGAGCCGUCUGAAUUCUUGCCUGCAGUCUGAUCUAUUUGAAGUUGGCUGGGAGACCCAGAAAUCCAAUCACCAGUGCAUCCCAGGCCCUUCUCUUGACCUCGGCGGAGCACAGAGGGGGAAAGCAGAUGAGAGGAGCUGGCUUCUUUCACAAGAAUCUGCCUGGCUGGGAGCAGACAUUCCCUUGGAUUUGGGGAGGGGCAUUUGAAGGCCUGUGCAUAUGGCACGGGAUGGAAUCCAAUAAAAAGCAAGGAGCUGGGUGGGGGUCAUAAGCCAGACUGGUGUCAGCCGCUCCCUGGGGAGCACAGGCAGGGAGUUCCCACGCAGUGUUGAUUUUCCUCCGCCCUUCUCAGCUAUAAAGUAAAAGAUAUUGAAGUCGAUCCUCUGGGGUUUGUGUGCCUAUAUGUGUUCUUACACAGUUUCCCAAAUACACCGUUAUAAAUCAGA